GAUGAACGCUAGCGGUAGGCCUAACACAUGCAAGUCGAGCGGUAUUUCUUCUUGGGCACAGAAAGACCGGCUAACGGGUUCGUAACACUUGUGCACCCUGCCUUUAUCUCGGGGAUAGCCUUUCGAAAGUAAGUUUACUACCCCAUAUUAUAUUUAGUCGCUUCAUUUGAUAUCUGAGUCUCCUCUGGUUAUUGGUGGGCUCGCGCCCCAUUAGCUCGUUGGUGAGGUAACGGCUAACCGAGUCAAUGAGCUUUAGGGGACCUGAGAGGGUGAUACCCCAGAGAGGUACUGAGACACGGACGAGAAACCGAGGGAAGGUAGCAGUGAGGAAGAUUGGACAAUGGAUAAGCGCCUGAUCCAGCCAUCCCGCGUGAAGGACGACGCCCCUAUGGGAGGUAAACUGCUGUUGUAUAGAGAUAAACCUACUCUCGUGAGAGUAGCUGAAGGUACUAUACGAAUAAGCACCGGCUAACUCCGUG
rnacentral:rRNA from 1 species